GUUCAGGCUUUUGAUGCUGAUCGGCUCUACCUCUUUAAGAGACAGACCCCGCCCCCUGACAAUACUCAGGGCAUGCGCAAGAAAACGUGCUACAUCAUCACCACGUCACCGGUCACCCAUGAUGACUCUGGACAUGCGUGGACCCUCAGUGUGCAGAAGAGGACCUUGCCCUGGGCUGGAAGCAACCACCCUUAAAUGCAGAAAUGAGGUUGAGCUCACUCUGGGGUCUAGCAGCCGGAAUGCCCUCUUGCUGAGAUUCAGAACAGAUGAAUCAACCCCACAGCAGCCCUCUGAGGACAAGGCCACAGCAGGGCUCCUUCAGUGCUACCCCACCCCCAGCUUGGUGAACAGUGGAGAACUCUGCCUGCCAGAAGGGCUGGGAGGAUUUAUGCAACAGACUGCACAUAUUUAAGUCAUGGGAGCCUGUCUGCAGCUCAUGGCGCAUAGGCUGCUUAGUUUCACUGUAGAAGAAGACAAGCCAUGUCGUGUGAAGGCGGGAGAUCCACGAUGGGGCAGCUGUAUCUGCUGAGUGUUUGGUGAAGCCUGGGGCAUGAGAAGCGGAGGGAGCAGGCACUCAUGGAGACAAAUACUCAGAAUAACGGAGCUUCAGAACAACCUUGUCAAGGACUAAUGCAGUCCCAGGAGAGGGAGAGCUCACCCACUCCCAAGAUGGAAGCAAUCUAUUCACGGUGAUGCCAUCUCCAUAAAUCAAACACCUCCCACUCUCCACGCUAACUGACAAGGCAGGAGGCCCCAGCAUGAGUUUUGAUGGGAAUAAACCAUAUUCAAAUGAUACAGCUAUUACUUAUAAAAAUCCUCAAAAGCAUCAACAAAAAUAUAGGUUUUUGCAGUGGAAUGAUUAGUUCAGACUCAUGCUUAAGUGCUCAGCUUUUGAUGAAAUGGAGAAUUACCUGCCAGUCUCCCUCUUCAUGCAAAGGGUUUGUGUUGUACCUCACAAAAUGGGACUGCUCGGCUGCUUAACAACAAACGUGCUCAGCUCUAAGGUCUUUCCAGCAGAUGGACCUCAAGUGUGAACUACCUCUUGCAGGUGCUUGUGUUAGAGGCGUGUCCAGAGUGGCCCCAAAGCCUCCACAGCUGUGCCACCUCAUCAGGGGGCCCUAUGCCCUCAGAUUCUCUCAAGAGGGAGGAAGAAAUAAAGACAGCCAUCAGACUAAAAAUAGUAUAAAUUAAAAGUGGGCAAUUUCCCCUCUGUGUUUUGUUGAAAUAUUUCUCUUUCUCUCAAUAUAAGUGAUUGUCUGGAUCUGCAGCCUACCACACUCACAGAUUCAAUGAACAUGAGAUAAAAGCAUUCCAAAUCAAACCAAAUCUUUACUGAGCUUGUACAGGCUCUUCCUGUGUUACUCCCUAAGCAGUACAUUAUGGUAACUAUUCACAUGUCUCAUUGUAUUGGAGGACAUCGUUAAGUCAGAAAUGGUUCAUGUGUACAGGAUAGGCAUAGGUUACAUGCAGCAACUAUACCACUUUAUAUUAAAGAUUUAAGUAGUUUUGGUGUUCAAGGAAGACCCUACAUGCACCUCCCUCCAGUAAAUAACAAGGGAUUAUUGGAUCCUCUUUUUAUUUUUUCAGGUUUUAACUUUCCAGGCACCUGUGAUAGUUUAAUUCCUCCACAUGGGUGAAGUCAGGAAUACCUAGGGCAUACCUUUGGGUGUUUCUGUGAGAGUGUUUCUGAGAGGAUUAGCUGUGGGACAGAAGCUCUACCUUGAAUGUGGGCUGCACCAUUGCUUGGACUAGGGUCCAUAACAGAAUAAAUAUGGAAAAAAUGAGAACACCAGCUGAGUCGUGGCCUGAACCUUUCUCUGCUUCCUGAUUAUGCCAUGAACUAGGCCACUUCAGUAUCAAUCCUUCCCUAUUGUGAUGGACUGGACCCUCUCAAACCUUAAGCCAAAACAAAGGCUCUUUCCAUAUGUUACUUUUGGCCAGUAUUUGGUCAUAGGAGCAAAAAAGUAAGGAUUGUAGCACCUUUUCCUGCUCCUGGUAAAACUACUCCUUUACUAACAAGUAACUUGGAUGAAUGGACACCCUAAACUUUAGUUUUCUAAUCUGCAAAGUGGAUAUGAGUUCAAGCUUGAGGUUAUGAGAACAAGAUUAUUUAAUUCAACUAAAGCAGGUUUAGCCUAGAACCCAGUAUUUAGGGCACAAUACGUACUUAAUGAAUGUCAAAUGUAAUGUGAUGAGCAACAUUUGUGGCAUUGACUACAGUAAAGUGCCAUUACAGAAACAGACAAACUUCACAUCUUCCAGUAGUAGAUUUUGGAAUCUUACCUGUUAAAUUGUCACAAUCAGUGGCCAACUUGACAUACAGUAUUUUUUUCCCCAGUAAAAAUAAGGAGGAUUUGUUGGUUGUGUUAUUUGUUGAAAAACUCCAAGUCCUUGUCAACUAUCUCUUCUUUGAGGGGAAUUUUAAAAAUAAUGCCUAAUGGUCAUGUCAGCAAUAAUUUGAUAUCUCAGUGUUUGAAUAGAUUGUAUAAAAAUAUAAUGUUUACAUUGCAUGUAAAUAGAUUUAAAAGUUUUUA